rnacentral:rRNA from 1 species
GUUUUUCGCUUGAGGAUGAGCCCAUACGGGAUUAGCUAGUUGGUGAGGUAAUGGCUCACCAAGGCUACGAUCCCUAACUGGUCUUAGAGGAUGAUCAGUCACACUGGAACUGAGACACGGUCCAGACUCCUACGGGAGGCAGCAGAAGGGAAUAUUGCACAAUGGGGGAAACCCUGAUGCAGCGACGCCGCGUGAGUGAUGAAGGCCUUCGGGUCGUAAAGCUCUGUCGUACGGGACUAAGAAAGUG